GUCGCGACCAGCGCGGCGCUGCCCGUCCCCCUCACCGCCCCGGCCGAGCCCCGCUGCGGAGCGGAGUCUCCCGCCUGCCCUUUGCGGUGUUUCCUCCCCGGCAGGUCCCGCACGGCGCUGAGGCCCCUAAACCGACUGGCCUGGGGGCUGUCGGGGGUCAGCCGGGCGGUUGGGAGCGAGAGGAGCCUGGGCCGAAUCACUUGGGCUCGUGCCGGCCGAGGUCGUGUUUUGGGGUCUGCAAGAGCCAGAAAAUGUCUGCGGAGCCCCUGACUAUUUUGUGGAGGUCCAAAGACUCUUUUGGGAAUUAUAAAGGGGAGCGGGAGGAGACUGGAAGGAGCCAGAGCAUCUGUGACAUUUCUUUAGUCUUCAGUAAAGAUCUUCAGUGAGUUACCUACCAUGGGAGUCGGGAUAUCAGCAGCCUCCAAAGUCUGUAAAGAAAGAAAUAAAGUAACUGUUGGGCCAUCAGACUGGAUGUCAGUAUCAGCCACAGGGAAUGGAAUAAUGCUCCUUGCUGUUGGAAGGAAGGCUCACCUCCAUGCAGUUGCAUUGGCACAACUGCAGCCCUGGUGGACUGUGACACACAGAUGGUGUGGAAAGGAGGAAGGGAGGCUGCUGGAUGGGAUGUUCUUCCCCCUGGCCUGCAUUCUGCUGUUCCUGCUGGAAGUGGUAUCCAGUAGGACAUGGAUAAUGAGCACAGCUGAAUUCUCAUGAGUAACAAAACCCUGCCCCUGCUCUUUACUCUGAAAGGUUUUCCAGAGCUCGGCAGUUAAGGACGACUCCAAACCUGAAAAACAAGAUGGCAGGUAACUACAAUUAAAACAAACAGAUAAUUUUUUCAACAUCUUAAUCACAUUUGCAAGAUAAAUACACUGCCAAGCACUAGUUAUGUUCUUAAAUAUUGUCUCAUUCACAGUUAAAACCUUUUCAUCUUGUUGACAGGAGUGGUUAUCUCCUCCAUACAUUAAAUCAUUCCAUGAAGUAUUUCUGUAUGUUUCUUAUAUUUGAAUCUCCAGUAUCCUGAUUGUUUCUGUGGAAUUUCCAUAUUUACUCUCUACAAAGUACAGUUGCCUGGCAGUUCUUUUUCUAGCUGCUGCUUUUUCCUGAUAUGGUUUGGACUUCCUGCAUAAUUUGUACAAAGCAUUCUCUUCUAUAAAUGUAAUUUUAAUUUUGUUUUAGUAAAACUGCGAUAUUCUGAUACGAGUUUAAAAGAGAUAAAUUCUUCAUACUUCUCAGCUAAAAUAAUGAAAUGCUGCCUUGAACCUUUAGAAAUGAGAUAAUAUUAUUUUUAUUAGAUUAUGAAACUGCAAGUAAUGACAGAUAAAUGCAGAUACAUCAUUAUUCUUAAAAAUCUAAACUGCUAAUCAAUAAAAGAUGUUAUUCCAGAAUACUGACAGCAGCAAUGAAUAAAGCAAUAUCUUUAUCACAGUGGGCUUUUGGAAGGUCUGUACUAAUUCCAGAAUAACACAAGAGCAAAGAAAUGUGUGCUUUUACCAUGCUUCAUGCAGCACCUACAGCUGCACAUGAGGGGUGUGUUUCCAUUCUUUCUACUGCACUUUUAAUCAUUUAUGGACAGCACUUAGGCAGGAAUAUAUCCUUGAUCUAAACAAGCAGAUAUUAUGCAUGUGUAUGUUUAUAUUUAAGUGUUUAUGUGUAGUUACUACAGUCAGGAAAACUACAAUUUCAUAUUUUAUGUUAACAAAGUGGUCUUUUAGCUCUAGAUCACAAUAUUAGAGGUGUGCUGGGAGCAUGAUGAGCAAAAGACUCCCUGAAUGCUGCUGCAGAGCUGGUUGGACAUCCUACCAUGGUUUCUGUCCAGUUUUGAACAGAGGCUUGUCCACUCACACUCACUUGGGUAACAGGAACUCUUUAAUUUCCUUACAGGGCCCCUUAGUAAAAGUUUAGACACAAACUCCACCUUUGAGUUUGGAGUCUGCCUCCAUUGUUAAAACAAUGUCUCCUCCCCUUCUGCUAACAAGCAACAAUUUUUUAACACUUCUGUAGUACUUUCCCAUGAUAACAACAGCAACUUCUUGAGAUGUCAUUUAACAUAUAUCCCUGAAUAAUUGAAUAAUUGAUCAAUAGUAGUAGAUAAAUAUAUUAAAAUUAUGUUCAACUGCAGCACCAACAGCAAGCAAAGUAAUACAAGACCCAGCAUAUCACAAAUGAACAUUGUGUAGCUGAGAAAGGAAAAAACUAGAAUUUAGUACUCCAGGAAAUAAAAACGUUACACUUCCUUAUCAUAAAAAGCUUUAAAAACCUUGUUAACAAUUACUUUGAGCAGUUCAUGUGAGAAUAUCUAAGAUUAAAAAGCAGUAGUGAGCUUAAAGCUAUGUAAAAAGUCUUAUCAAAAGCUGUUAUCAAUUUAAUCAUUCAAACAAAGUAGCAAAUGUUACCAUUUUAUAAACUGGAAUUCCUAGGAGAUUUCUCUUAGAAGACCAUUCAUAUGCUAUAACUUUAGACAUGAUUUAUUUUAUUAUUACAAUUGUCAGAUGGUAAAUUCUGUCUCUUUUUUCCAAGAUAAUACACUUAAAGAUGGCUGUUCUGUGAAGAGUACAGUAUUUGGAAUGUAUGCAAUAAAUUUCAAGGCCCUUCAGGAACAUGAUAUUGUCUUAGUUGGAAUGGCUGAGAAAAUUCACAUUGACUCUUCUGUGCACGGGGCUGCACUUUUAACCCAAGCCAAAUGUAAUGAUAUUCCUAUAAAUCACCAAGUCCAAGCAUUGUAGCUCAGCUCACACAGGCAGAUCCUCAGCUCCAGAGCUCUGAUUAAGUCAACAGGGCCAGACAUCAGUACUGAUCUUGUGUGAUUGGAUUACAGGAUUGGAGCUGUGAUUUGUCCUACUGAAACCACCCUAAGGUACUUAAACAGAUAAAUCCUACUAUCACAUUUCUUUUCUUAUUGAUUACACUUUCUGAAAUGCAGGGGGAAAAAAAACAAAAAAACAAAGAAAACCAAAACAACAACAACAAAACCCCCCAACCUUGCUUUCUCCACAUAGCAUUAUGAUAAGGUGCAUGAAGGGCUGGAAGGACAACAGAAAUACCUCUAGGGGAAUAA